AACUUUUAACAAUGGAUCACUUGGCUCUCGCAUCGAUGAAGAACGCAGCGAAAUGCGAUACGUAAUGUGAAUUGCAGAAUUCAGUGAAUCACCGAAUCUUUGAACGCACCUUGCGCCCCUUGGAAUUCCGAGGGGCACACCCGUUUGAGUGUCGUGAAAAUCCUUCAACCUUUCUUGGGUUCUUAACCGGGGAAGGCUUGGACUUUGGGGGUCUUUCAUUGCUGGCCUCUUUGAAGCCAGCUCCUCCUAAAUGGAUUAGUGUGGUCUGCUUUGCCGAUCCUUGACGUGAUAAGAUGUUUCUACGUCUUGGGUUUCGCACUGUCGCUUUAGACCCCGCUUCUAACCGUCUUGCAUUCAAGACAGAGUUUUAAACCUUGACCUCAAAUCGGGUGAGACUACCCGCUGAACUUAAGCAUAUCAAUAAGCGGAGGCU
rnacentral:misc_RNA from 1 species